CCUAAACCUAAUUCCAAAUCCCAAAUCCUAAACCCUAACUUAACUCUAAACCUUAAACCCUGACCCCUUAACCCCAAACUCCAAAAUCCUAACUCCAAACCUUAAAUCUUAAACCCCAAACCCUUAACCGCAAAUUCUAAACCUUAAACUUUAAAUCCCAAACUCUUAAUCCUAUCGUUUGGGGCCCGAGGCUGGGCAUGAGGCUGUCAUUGGGCCCGACCCCCUCCCGACACUGAAAAAUUUCAUUCAAAAGAUCAAGUUGUAGAUCUUGAUGAUACAAAUUCAACGCAAAAAACCCCGUCGACAAAUUCCACCCCCAACUCCGGCAAUGUCGAAAAAACAGUCGCGAUCAUUGUUCAUCCGAACUUGGAACAAAUUGCAUGGCACAAAUGAUUAUUUCUCUAGAUCAAUUGGAUUUGAAUCUAAGCAACAUUCCGAUUAGGAAUCAUAGUCCUCAUCUUGAUGUUCAACAAAUCAAAAAUUUGGACAAUUUCACCGUCUCUAUCGCCGGCGAAUUCUGCUAGUGACAAAGACAAAGCACCGCCGUUCCGCCUCGAAAUUGAACCAUCGUCCAGCGAAUUUUGUGGUAGCGCGACCCUUGGGUUUUGUGCGCCAUCUGCUGAUCUAUCAGAUCAAGGAAAUUCAAAGCAGUCUAACGACGAAAACUCUGGCAAACUAUUGUUCAAUGCCGACGCCGGAGCUUCGACCGGCAAAAAUGAAAAAUUCCAACGCCAAAAGAUGCGCACUGAUGAGGCGAACCCAACCAUGCAAAAAUACCCAAUUGUUUCAUCUCAGAACGUAUCCAAUUUGAGUUUGAAAGUUACGCCACCUAGGGUGAUUUUUGACGAAGGCGCCGCCGCUGCCGCAACCGGCCAAUUGGAAAUUGGGUUGGGGGUUCUGAUCGCAAUAUGGACAGCAAUACAAAUACACAAGAAGCCCCAAUUGUUUUGCAACAGGAAAUUAGGGUUUCAAAUCGGCAAAAUUCUAACAAUGCCGGCGAUGGAACUCCGGUCAGUGAUAAUCAAAAUUGCUUGUCAAAUUUGAUUCAGGAGGACAAUGCAUGUAUUUCUCCUCAAGAAAAUCAAAUAGACGAGGCCGGAGCUCUUCUAUUUUCUCUUUUAGGCUUAACGAUGAAGUACAAUUAACCGGAGAUGGUGUUCCGAUGUCUAGAGAGCAUAAUUCACGGUCCAAAAUCUAUCCUAAAGCUAUGGUGAAUGCGGAUACUCCUCAAGGACAUGCAUUGGACCAACAAAAUGGUAAGUUGAAUUCUAACUUGAUUAAUGCUAAUGCUUGUCUGUUUGUGAUGAAAGGAAACAAUGAACUAAUAUUGAUGAGGAACCAACACAAUUCUCAAAGUCCUGAGGACGCAAUCAACAUCACCAAUGCUAAAUUUACGUGUCCGAGGGCUAAACCGAGGGAUGAUCACUUUGCAAAACAUGAUGGAAAACAACAAAAUACAACUGUAUGUCCAACAGGAGAACAACAACUUCAUCAAUCGACGGACACGACAAAUGCAGGAAAAGAAAAGAAGUUGAAGCAACGAAUAAUCUCAAGAACAAAUCAGGGCAAGGAAUCAGCAAUCAGGUAACUAACCAAAAUAAUAACUCUCAACAAGUUAUUACUAAUUUUUCUGCUAGUGUUUCAGUUACCAAAGAAAACCAUCACCAAAAUCAGAAAAUGGAAGAAAAGAAAUAACAAGAGGAGUGGCAAACCCAAAAAAGAAAGAAAUUCAAAGGUUACAACCAAAAUGCUCAAAAGAGCAAUGUAGCAAACUCAACAAGUAUACAAAUCAGUAUCGCCAAGAGCAAAACAAGACAUUGACCAGCAAAAACAACAAGAGCAGCAGACAAGUAUUGACUCAGUGCUCCCAACCCCAUGGUGAUAUUGCAAGUCCCAUCCCCUGUGUAUCCCCCCAAAUAAUGCAGAACAAGUAAACCAAGGAAACAAACAAUGACAUAGGAAAGGGAUCCAAAGGGGGGUUGUAGACCUCAUGCUUUGCAUGGGAAUAGGUUGGUUGACCAUAGGGUGGAAUUUAGAGCCCCUGCUACCACUGCUCAUUUCACUUUUUUUCCUCAAAAUCAUGACAAUAAUAUUACUCAACACAAUGCUUUAGACGAGGUCAAUGUUACAGAUUCAGAUGCUGAAAAUUCUUGUAGUGGUUCAGAUUUGGGUGGUAAUGAUCAGAAUGAUGAGAGUAACUCUGUUCAGAUUUUUGAAAAUGCUGAAGAUCAGUCCAUGUUGUUAUUGAUACUCAGAAUUCAGCUGGUUGUGUUCAGAAUUGUACAUAGAAGGUUGAUAAGUUGAAGGUUACUAAUGCUCAAGGUUUAGAACUAAAGGGUCAGAUGUUGGGUGAUUACUGUAAUACCCCGAGACUCUAACCAAUAGUGUAACCAUGAAUCAAGCUCAUGAGAAAUAAAUUAUAAUGUUUUGGGUUUUUUUCCGAUCAAGAAUGGUGUGUAUUAAGGCCUUAAAUAUGUCCUAACGAUUGGGUGAAUCAAAACAUUCCUUACCGAUUGAAUUCUUAGGAAGAAUAUUGGUAUAGUCAACUUCAAACGAGCAUAUUUCUCAUUAUACUUGGAAUUUUCAAGCUCAUGACCUAUCAAUAGAUAUAUAAUUGAAUUAUCUUUCUAACGAUACCAAUUUCGCUAAAAUAUGAUACCGGAGCAAAGAGUUAUACCCAUUUUACUCCAACAUGUCCAACAUGUCAAUCUGAAAAAGGGUGACGACGUUUCUGAUGGCCUGUCACGUUUCUGACGACAUUUUUGACGACGUCGUCAUGUUUCUGACGACAUUUCUGAUGACAUCGUUAGCGUUAGGCAGAAAAUCAUAAAAUUCGACCAUUUUGUGACGACAUUUCGUGACGGCCUAUCAUGGAUGUAACGGCCUGUCACGGAUGUCGUCAAAUAUUUUUUUCAGUAAUUUAGAGACGUUUUUGCAAGGGUAUUUUGGUCUUUCCCAUAUUUUGGAGGCCUCUAUAAAUAUGAGAAUCCUAUCCAAACCCUAAUUCCAUCAUUUUCUCUACCAAUUCUCUUGAGAUAAUAUAUCUAGGGUUAUAUCAAGAACAUAAAUCUUCCAAGAAUCAUCUAUAAAUCUUCAAAAUUUCUUCAAGAACCAAGUUCCUCAUAGUGUGGGCUUCAAGAAUUAUUUAUUUCAAGUGUGGAUAAAGUCUCAAGCACUAAAGUUCAUCCAAUUUCAAAGAUUAAGGUAUGUGGGGUUUUGAACAAAAACACUUCUUUCGUUCUUGUGCCCAAAGAUUUAAUUUCUAUUGAAUUUCAUGAAUUUUGCAAAGUGGGUUUACACCCAAAUUACUUUAUCAAGGAUUUAUGAGAUUUGAUAUAUACAAGAUUGACACAUAUGAAUGCUUCAUUGUCUUAUUUCUUAAAUUAAGAAUUUAUGUAAUGAGUUGUAUAUUGUUAUUAUGAAAUGAUAAUUUCUAAGUGAUUUAUGAUAAGUGUCAUGAUUUAUGUUUUUCCAUGAGAACUUUGUCUAUUCAAUAUAUAUUGAUAUUGAGCUUGAGAGUCAAGAACGAGUUCUAUGAUGUUUUCUGGAAGAUUUGAUACUUGAUAUGAUUUGAUAAGCAGGUGUACUUGAUGAUGAGAAAGAUUAUUUUGAGAUUUAGUCGAGUUAGGAAUCCACAAGUUGAUUAUGAUUUACAAGUGAGAUAUAUAUUUAUAUUUUGGUCUUCAUGAUAGACCCUUGAGUUGAUUAAGGUGGAUUUCCUAACGCGUUCUGAGCUUAAGUCUAGGAGUAAUAUUUAGCACCGAGCGGGAAGUAUGGAUUCAUCGCAUCCUACUUUCCUAGAAUUACGUGCCACCGUAGGAUUAAGAUUAAGGGCCAAAGGCCAAGACAGUUGUUUUGUGGAAAAUUUUUGACUUUUUGAAGAGUCGCCGCUUAAUUUUGAAAAAGGAAUUAAGAAACCUUUAGAAAGUACUUCAAACGAUUCAAAACAAGAAAAUCGUUUAAGUUAAGAGAUUCUGAAUAAGCGGUUCCUAUUAGCGUUUUAGGAAGGUGUUAGGCACCUAAAACGUCCGCUAACUUGCGAUUAUCCGGACUGUUUGAAAAUCGUCUUUGAUUAACCUUGAAAGAAGUUGAUUUUGAAAAGUGAGUGAUUUUGUCGAAAAGAUUUGUGUAAAAACAGUUUUAGACGACCUAAUAGGGAUUUUGACUAAGUCUACACAAAUUAAAUAAGCAAGUAAACACAUAAACUGGGAAAGAGAGGAGAAAGUAAACGAUUUAGGUCGUUGGGCCCAAACCAACAAAACUUGUCCUAGUCUAAUUGAGCCUUUGACCCAUUUCACCUGUCUGUCCUAAUCUAGUUUUCGAGCCUUUGACUCGAAUCUUGCUCCAUCUGUAUUAAAUACAACUCGAGCCUUUGCCUGAAUGAAUGAACUAAAAAAAUGAAUAAAUAAACAAAUAAAGGCAACAGUAAAUCAAUAAGUAAAUAAAUAGAGACUUUCUAGUCUCUUUUCCGCUUCAAAAAUGGGAUCUUAACCCAUUCUUCUUCUUUCGACUCCUUGUAUUCGCACACUAUGCAACCUUAGACUCACUUCCGGGCUUGACUCAAUGGAUGGGCCUGAUUGUCCCAUUAAGGAAUGCAAAGAGUCCGUUUGGACUCCAACGAAUUCACAUGCAAAUUAAGAAAAAUAAAGGACGCUAAUACAUGACUAAAAAAGGGAAAAAAAUAUAAAAACAACACAUAGGCAAUCAAAGGAAGGAAAUUGAGUUAGUUAACACAUGAUCGAUCAAAGAGAGGAAAAACUAAAAGGAAACUAAUGCGGAUUUUUUUGAAAAUAGCAACGUGGUAUGGAUCUUAAAUAAUCAAAAGCCGAUUAAAAAUAGUAAUACAUGUUCGUAUCAACUCAAUAAAGAAGCAUUAUACGCAAAUCAAUCUUACAUAUCAGCUAAUCCAAAUAUUUCUCAAAAUUCUUCCUAGUUAACUUGAAAUAAUUAUUUGGACAUGCGAAGAUAAAAUGAACAUUAUUUCAAUCUAACCAAAACAUCAUAGAGACUUAAUGUAUGUAAAAAACAACAUAUGUUGACCAGUGGGUUUAUAAGGAAAGAAUCAUUUAAUCACCAUACAAAGUGACUACCAGUUCACUGUUGGCAAAAUUCUUGCAACAUGGUAUGUUAUCAAGAAAAAAAAAGGACUUAGUAUAUUGAAUUAAUUCAAUAUUAAUUAAUAUACUAAGUAAAACAUGACGUGUUCAUACUAGACGGAAGCUUCAAGUUACACCGCACAUAGCAUGUCUCCAAAUGUGAAGUAACACAUUGUUUAGACUUACAUUAGUGAGAAGCCAAUUUGUACUAAAACUUGGGCACAGAUAUCGCACGUAUGAAUUUUGCGUAGACGAAAAGUAAUGACAAAAAUGUAUAGAUUUACUAAUGAAAUACUCAUCAAGCCACUUAGAUUUAAUCGAGGGGACUGAACAAAAACCAUGCAAGAUAAGCAAUAUCAUGAGUUGCAACUCAAAUUUUUAAGCGGUUAUUAUUCAAAUGGUCAGUCUACUGCCUAACGUCGAUUAGAAGAAACGAAGUGAGAUUUAAAAGAAAGGAGAAAUAACAUUCAGACUAAAACAUGACUAUAAAUUUUAAUGCCAAAAGAAAGAGAACUUAAAAGAUGAACUAAAAAUCAUCAAAUCAAGGUUGAUGGAAAUAUCAUCUCAAAACAGCAGUCGUAAUUCGAUCGCAUAACGUAUGGCUCUCAAGGCCUCUACAGCGAAACAAUUCUUCAACACCCAAGG